GACGAACGCUGGCGGCGUGCUUAACACAUGCAAGUCGAACGGAAAGGCCCUGCUUUUGUGGGGUGCUCGAGUGGCGAACGGGUGAGUAACACGUGAGUAACCUGCCCUUGACUUUGGGAUAACUUCAGGAAACUGGGGCUAAUACCGGAUAGGAGCUCCUGCUGCAUGGUGGGGGUUGGAAAGUUUCGGCGGUUGGGGAUGGACUCGCGGCUUAUCAGCUUGUUGGUGGGGUAGUGGCUUACCAAGGCUUUGACGGGUAGCCGGCCUGAGAGGGUGACCGGCCACAUUGGGACUGGGAUACGGCCCAGACUCCUACGGGAGGCAGCAGUGGGGAAUAUUGCACAAUGGGCGGAAGCCUGAUGCAGCAACGCCGCGUGCGGGAUGACGGCCUUCGGGUUGUAAACCGCUUUCGCCUGUGACGAAGCGUGAGUGACGGUAAUGGGUAAAGAAACACCGGCUAACUACGU
rnacentral:rRNA from 1 species